CCUACGGGUGGCAGCAGUAGGGAAUUUUCGUCAAUGGGCGCAAGCCUGAACGAGCAAUGCCGCGUGAACGAGGAAGGUCUUCGGAUCGUAAAGUUCUGUUGAAGGGGAAAAAGAGCGGAGAGAGGAAAUGCUUUCUGAUUGAUAUUACCCUUCGAGGAAGUCACGGCUAACUACGUGCCAGCAGCCGCGGUAAUACGUAGGUGGCGAGCGUUAUCCGGAAUGAUUGGGCGUAAAGGGUGCGUAGGCGGCCUGCUAAGUCUGGAGUGAAAGGUACCGGCUCAACCGGUACAGGCUCUGGAAACUGGCGGGCUAGAGAGCAGGAGAGGGCGGUGGAACUCCAUGUGUAGCGGUAAAAUGCGUAGAUAUAUGGAAGAACACCAGUGGCGAAGGCAGCUUACUAAACUGUGACUGACAUUGAUGCUCGAAAGUGUGGGUAUCAAACAGGAUUAGAUACCCGGGUAGUC
rnacentral:rRNA from 1 species